UACGUAGGGUGCAAGCGUUGUCCGGAAUACUGGGCGUAAAGCGUGCGCAGGCGGUGAUGUAAGACAGAUGUGAAAUCCCCGGGCUUAACCUGGGAACUGCAUUUGUGACUGCAUCGCUGGAGUGCGGCAGAGGGGGAUGGAAUUCCGGCGUGUAGCAGGUGAAAUGCGUAGAUAUGCGGAGGAACACCGAUGGCGAAGGCAAU
rnacentral:rRNA from 1 species